rnacentral:rRNA from 1 species
CGCGUAGGCGGUCUCUUAAGUCAGAUGUGAAAGCCCGGGGCUUAACCUCGGAAGUGCAUUUGAAACUAAGGGACUUGAGUAUGGGAGAGGGAAGUGGAAUUCCUGGUGUAGCGGUGAAAUGCGUAGAUAUCAGGAGGAACACCGGUGGCGAAGGCGACUUCCUGGACCAAUACUGACGCUGAGGCGCGAAGGCGUGGGGAGCAAACAGGAUUAGAUACCAUGGUAGUCC